ensembl:snoRNA SNORD21 Small nucleolar RNA SNORD21
UCUUGAUGAUGAUACAAAGCACGCUGAGCAAAAUGUAGUUGGUCCUUCAUUUGCAUUAGCUGAUGUUCACUGUCCUUUUCAAGACGGGGCUGAGAGAAGC